rnacentral:rRNA from 1 species
UACGGGGGGGUAAGCGUUGUUCGGAAUUACUGGGCGUAAAGGGCUCGUAGGCGGCCAACUAAGUCAGACGUGAAAUCCCUCAGCUUAACUGGGAACUGCGUCUGAUACUGGAUGGCUUGGAUUCGGGAGAGGAAUGCGGAAUUCCAGGUGUAGCGGUGAAAUGCGUAGAUAUCAGGAGGAACGAGCCGAGUGGCGAAGGCAGGUCGUCCUGGCAUUAACUGACGCUGAGGAAGCGGAAAGCAUGGGGAGCGAACAG